rnacentral:rRNA from 1 species
GGUCAAGCUACAAAGGGCGCAUGGUGAAUGCCUUGGCAUCAGGAGCCGAUGAAGGACGUGAUAAGCUGCGAUAAGCUUCGGGUAGGCGCACAUAGCCUGAGAUCCGAAGAUCUCCGAAUGAGGAAACUCACAUGGGAAACCCCAUGUAUCAUUAAGUGAAUACAUAGCUUAAUGAAGGUAACCCAGGGAACUGAAACAUCUAAGUACCUGGAGGAAGAGAAAGAAAAAUCGAUUUUCUUAGUAGCGGCGAGCGAAAGGGAAAGAGCCCAAACCGGAAACUUGUUUCCGGGGUUGUGGACAUAGCAUAAAAGUGGAGGCUAUUGUAACUGAAGAGAACUGGAAAGUUCCACCGUAGAAGGUAAUAGUCCUGUAAGUGAAACGAGAAGACCACGAGUUAUGAUCCAGAGUACCACGAGACACGUGAAACCUUGUGGGAAGCAGGGAGGACCACCUCCCAAGGCUAAAUACUACCUGAUGACCGAUAGUGAAGCAGUACCGUGAGGGAAAGGUGAAAAGAACCCCGGGAGGGGAGUGAAAUAGAACCUGAAACCGUGUGCCUACAACCGCUCAGAGCCCCUUAUGAGGGUGAUGAGGUGCUUUUUGUAGAACGAGCCAACGAGUUACGGUAUGUAGCAAGGUUAAGUACUUAAGGUACGGAGCCGAAGGGAAACCGAGUCUGAAUAGGGCGACUAGUUGCAUGCCGUAGACCCGAAACCGGGUGACCUAUCCAUGGCCAGGUUGAAGCGAGGGUAAAACCUCGUGGAGGACCGAACCACGUUGCUGUUGAAAAAGCAUGGGAUGAGCUGUGGAUAGCGGAGAAAUUCCAAUCGAACCCGGAGAUAGCUGGUUCUCUCCGAAAUAGCUUUAGGGCUAGCGUCGAGUAUGAGUAGUGGAGGUAGAGCACUGAAUGGGCUAGGGGGCAUAGCGCUUACCGAACCUUAUCAAACUCCGAAUGCCACAUACUUUGAGCUCGGCAGUCAGACUACGAAUGAUAAGAUCCGUGGUCAAAAGGGAAACAGCCCAGAUCGUCAGCUAAGGUCCCAAAGUGUAAGUUAAGUGGGAAAGGAUGUGAGAUUUCUAAGACAACUAGGAUGUUGGCUUAGAAGCAGCCAUUCAUUAAAAGAGUGCGUAAUAGCUCACUAGUCGAGAGAUCUUGCGCCGAAAAUGUAACGGGGCUAAACUUACCACCGAAGCUACGGGCUUGAACUUAGUUCAAGCGGUAGGAGAGCGUCGUAACCGGGCUGAAGUCGUACCGUAAGGAGCGGUGGACUGGUUACGAGUGAGAAUGUUGGCAUCAGUAGCGAGAUGUGGGUGAGAAUCCCACAGGCCGAAAACCUAAGGUUUCCUCAGGAAGGUUCGUCCGCUGAGGGUUAGUCGGGACCUAAGCCGAGGCCGAAAGGCGUAGGUGAUGGACAACUGGUUGAUAUUCCAGUACCACUACCAUCGUUAUUAUCGAUGGCGUGACGCAGGAGGAUAGUGUGUGCUAGCUAUUGGAUGCUAGUCUAAGCGUUUAGGCAGUGAGAGUAGGCAAAUCCGCUCUCAUAAUGCUGAGGCGUGAUGGGGAAGGUUCUACGGAACCGAAGUACAUGAUUCCACGCUGCCAAGAAAAGCGUCUAGAGAGAGAAGUAGUGCCCGUACCGCAAACCGACACAGGUAGGUGAGGAGAGAAUCCUAAGGCCGGCGGAAGAAUUACAGUUAAGGAACUCGGCAAAUUGACCCCGUAAGUUCGCGAGAAGGGGUGCCUACGAGAGUAGGCCGCAGAGAAUAGGCCCAAGCAACUGUUUAGCAAAAACACAGGUCUCUGCUAAAGCGUAAGCUGAUGUAUAGGGGCUGACGCCUGCCCGGUGCUGGAAGGUUAAGGGGAACACUUAGCGCAAGCGAAGGUGUGAACUUAAGCCCCAGUAAACGGCGGCCGUAACUAUAACGGUCCUAAGGUAGCGAAAUUCCUUGUCAGGUAAGUUCUGACCCGCACGAAUGGCGUAAUGACUUGGGCACUGUCUCAACUGUAAAUCCGGCGAAGUUGUAGUGCGAGUGAAGAUGCUCGCUACCCGCGAUUGGACGGAAAGACCCCGUAGAGCUUUACUGUAGCUUAGCAUUGAGUUUUGGUAUUGUCUGUACAGGAUAGGUGGGAGACUAGGAAACCAGGGCGUCAGCCUUGGUGGAGUCAACCUUGGGAUACCACCCUGACAGUACUGAAAUUCUAACUGGCGGCCAUGAAUCUGGUCACAGGACAUUGUUAGGUGGGCAGUUUGACUGGGGCGGUCGCCUCCUAAAAAGUAACGGAGGCGCCCAAAGGUUCCCUCAGAACGGUCGGAAAUCGUUCGAAGAGUGCAAAGGCAGAAGGGAGCCUGACUGCGACACCCACAAGUGGAGCAGGGACGAAAGUCGGGCUUAGUGAUCCGGUGGUACCUCGUGGGAGGGCCAUCGCUCAACGGAUAAAAGCUACCUCGGGGAUAACAGGCUGAUCUCCCCCAAGAGUCCACAUCGACGGGGAGGUUUGGCACCUCGAUGUCGGCUCGUCGCAUCCUGGGGCUGAAGUAGGUCCCAAGGGUUGGGCUGUUCGCCCAUUAAAGCGGCACGCGAGCUGGGUUCAGAACGUCGUGAGACAGUUCGGUCCCUAUCCGUCGCGGGCGUAGGAAAUUUGAGAGGAGCUGUCCUUAGUACGAGAGGACCGGGAUGGACUGACCUCUGGUGUACCAGUUGUUCCGCCAGGAGCACAGCUGGGUAGCUAAGUCGGGAAUGGAUAAACGCUGAAAGCAUCUAAGCGUGAAGCCAACCUCAAGAUGAGAUUUCCCAUAGCGUAAGCUAGUAAGAUCCCUUGAAGAACACAAGGUUGAUAGGUCGGGGGUGUAAGCAUGGUAACAUGUUCAGCUGACCGAUACUAAUAGAUCGAGGGCUUGACC